GCAGAAGUACGUCAAACAAGGCCUAAAACGCGAAGAAGCGAUCGAUUUUUUGCGGAAGGACUUUCCUCAAUUCGCCUGGAGUAACCGAACACUCGACGAACGUUUACGCCAUUUCGAAGUUUAUUGCAAGGAUGACACUAUUUCGGUUGAAAAGAUGUUAAAGAGGUUGUUAAAAAGGAAUUGGAAGACCCAAGUAAGCUAUUGAGGCUGGAGUGUAGAGGACAUAUGGAUCUGGCUCUCUUCCCUGGGAAUUAAGGGGAUGCUGCCCUGUUUUCAAGUGAUUGUUGCUAAGUGAAAAAGGUGAUGACAAGGACAUUGCUGUAGAGCCUUAAUGGGUUGACAAAUGGAGCUUAUAGCAAAUAUGAAACAAGUAAUGAACACUCAAGAAAAGGAAAACCCUUACAGAAGUGGAUUCAAAAUUGGAAAAUUCUUCACUUAAAAAGAAAAAUAACAACUCUGGAUAAAAAGAUUGGGAUGCCAAAUAAAAGACAAUGUACUUAGAAAAAGUGUAUCAGGUCUCACAGUAUCCAGUGGGUGCAUGAAAAGAACUAGUGUCCUAGGGAUGGCUAUGACUUUGAGGCUGAACACAUGCUGCAAAAAGAGCCAAAUAGAGAAAGCUUUGUGGUAGUGGUGAUGAAGAAGAUGAAUCAGAUUUUGGUCCAGUUGGAAAAGUAAACAGCUGUCAAGCAAGUUCAAAACUGGAUGAUAUCAGCAACAAAAGUGCUGCUAUUGUAGUUCUAACUUUUCUGGGAUUUUGUUCCAUGUGACAUGUGACAUGUGACAGUUGUGAAGCAUCUUCAUCCUUCAGCCAAGAAAUAAACUAUCAAAUAUCGUUCAUCAUCAUCAUCAUCAUCAUCAUCAUCAUCAUCAUCAUAUCAAUUACCUGUAAAGAUAGCAACAGCAGUUAUAAGUCAAGCUGCACUGAGAUAAAAAGUCCCAUGAAAGGUGGUGAGGUUGACUUCUUGAAUCUUAACCCUUUACCUCCCAUGAGUGACCAAGACAGAAUUUCUCCUUACAACAUCUCUACAAUAUCAACCAGCCAAGUUAUGAGAAUAAAGAAAACUAUCAAUUUGGAGAUAAUUAGUUGAUCUAAUACAAAAUUCUCUGAACUAACAUCAUAAGAAUUGUAUGGUUGACAGUAAGGAGAAUUACAAAUUUGGUCUGGGAGUGAAAAGGUUAAGAGAGAGAAUAGUUUGUGCAAUAAGAAGCUGGACCAGCAUUAGAGCAAGGAUUCAGAUGUAGAGGAAUCUGAUAAAGGAGACAGAUUCAGUAACCAUUGACUCUUCUUUUUCAACCCAGUCUGGUGGUUUUGAAGUCAGUGACACUCUUUAAUAUAGAGACCUAUUCUCCAUUUCUCAAUAGCCAGUGUUGUGUUUUGUAAGGAAGUUAGCCCAAUUAUGUCACUGAAAAGGGAAUUGAUAUUGUAUUUACCUUAAUUUAGUAAGAGAAAUCCUCCAGAAAAGGCAUUAAAUUUGA